rnacentral:rRNA from 1 species
UACGUAGGGUGCAAGCGUUGUCCGGAAUUAUUGGGCGUAAAGAGCUCGUAGGCGGUUUGUCGCGUCUGCUGUGAAAACUCGGGGCUUAACUCCGGGCCUGCAGUGGGUACGGGCAGACUAGAGUGCGGUAGGGGAGACUGGAAUUCCUGGUGUAGCGGUGAAAUGCGCAGAUAUCAGGAGGAACACCGGUGGCGAAGGCGGGUCUCUGGGCAGUAACUGACGCCGAGGAGCGAAAGCGUGGGGAGCGAACAGG